AUUGAACGCUGGCGGCAGGCCUAACACAUGCAAGUCGAGCGGUAGCACAGAGAGCUUGCUCUCGGGUGACGAGCGGCGGACGGGUGAGUAAUGUCUGGGAAACUGCCUGAUGGAGGGGGAUAACUACUGGAAACGGUAGCUAAUACCGCAUAACGUCGCAAGACCAAAGUGGGGGACCUUCGGGCCUCAUGCCAUCAGAUGUGCCCAGAUGGGAUUGGCUAGUAGGUGGGGUAAUGGCUCACCUAGGCGACGAUCCCUAGCUGGUCUGAGAGGAUGACCAGCCACACUGGAACUGAGACACGGUCCAGACUCCUACGGGAGGCAGCAGUGGGGAAUAUUGCACAAUGGGCGCAAGCCUGAUGCAGCCAUGCCGCGUGUGUGAAGAAGGCCUUCGGGUUGUAAAGCACUUUCAGCGGGGAGGAAGGCGGUGAGGUUAAUAACCUCAUCGAUUGACGUUACCCGCAGAAGAAGCACCGGCUAACUCCGUGCCAGCAGCCGCGGUAAUACGGAGGGUGCAAGCGUUAAUCGGAAUUACUGGGCGUAAAGCGCACGCAGGCGGUCUGUCAAGUCGGAUGUGAAAUCCCCGGGCUCAACCUGGGAACUGCAUUCGAAACUGGCAGGCUAGAGUCUUGUAGAGGGGGGUAGAAUUCCAGGUGUAGCGGUAAAAUGCGUAGAGAUCUGGAGGAAUACCGGUGGCGAAGGCGGCCCCCUGGACAAAGACUGACGCUCAGGUGCGAAAGCGUGGGGAGCAAACAGGAUUAGAUACCCUGGUAGUCCACGCCGUAAACGAUGUCGAUUUGGAGGUUGUGCCCUUGAGGCGUGGCUUCCGGAGCUAACGCGUUAAAUCGACCGCCUGGGGAGUACGGCCGCAAGGUUAAAACUCAAAUGAAUUGACGGGGGCCCGCACAAGCGGUGGAGCAUGUGGUUUAAUUCGAUGCAACGCGAAGAACCUUACCUGGUCUUGACAUCCACAGAACUUUCCAGAGAUGGAUUGGUGCCUUCGGGAACUGUGAGACAGGUGCUGCAUGGCUGUCGUCAGCUCGUGUUGUGAAAUGUUGGGUUAAGUCCCGCAACGAGCGCAACCCUUAUCCUUUGUUGCCAGCGGUCCGGCCGGGAACUCAAAGGAGACUGCCAGUGAUAAACUGGAGGAAGGUGGGGAUGACGUCAAGUCAUCAUGGCCCUUACGACCAGGGCUACACACGUGCUACAAUGGCAUAUACAAAGAGAAGCGACCUCGCGAGAGCAAGCGGACCUCAUAAAGUAUGUCGUAGUCCGGAUUGGAGUCUGCAACUCGACUCCAUGAAGUCGGAAUCGCUAGUAAUCGUAGAUCAGAAUGCUACGGUGAAUACGUUCCCGGGCCU
rnacentral:rRNA from 1 species